GCGACUCUGGACGCGAGCCGGGCCC
rnacentral:ncRNA from 3 species